GACGAACGCUGGCGGCGUGCUUAACACAUGCAAGUCGAACGGAAAGGCCUGCUUUCCCUUGUGGAUUGCGGGUACUCGCGUGGCGAACGGGUGAGUAACACGUGAGUGAUCUGCCCCCAACUUGGGUAUAAGCCUGGGAAACUGGGUCUAAUUCCCGAUAGGACUGCAGGGUGGUGCCUGUGGUGGAAAACGAUUUUCUAGUGGUUGGGGAUGAGCUCGCGGCCUAUCAGCUUGUUGGUGGGGUAAUGGCCUACCAAGGCGGCGACGGGUAGCCGGCCUGAGAGGGUGGACGGCCAAAUUGAGACUGAGAUACGGCCCAGACUCCUACGCGAGGCAGCAGUGGGGAAUAUAGCACAAUGGGCGGAAGCCUGAUGCAGCGACGCCGCGUGGGGGAUGACGGCCUUCGGGUUGCAAACUCCUUUCGACCGCGAGGAAGCCACCUGGUUGGAAGGGUGGUGACGGUAGUGGUAGAAGAAGCACCGGCUAACUACGU
rnacentral:rRNA from 1 species